GAGUGCGAUCAUACCAGCACUAAAGCACUGGAUCCCAUCAGAACUCCGAAGUUAAGCGUGCUUGGGCGAGAGUAGUACUAGGAUGGGUGAACAAGUUUUGAAGGCA
rnacentral:rRNA from 15 species